UCUGACCUUAGCCUUAUUAAGUGCUUUCUUUUCAGAUACAGUUAUUAUUCGACAAUAGAGAGACUGCAGUGCUGCAAGGGGGAAAACUAAUAUAUUUAAAAUGUGUCUCUGUGUGUGUGUGUGUCUGUGUGCGCCUGUGUGCGUGUAUAUAUAUAACUAUCCAUCUUUCUUUCCCCAUGAAGCUUAUGGAGUUGGGAACGCUGAAUGUGGGAACUCAGGGACUACUAUUCUGAGCACAACUGAGAAAACUAUGUUUCGUCCCAUUGCAUGCGCCUGUCUUUGAUCUCAAAUUGAAAAUCUCUGAGCCUCUUCCUCCAAUCCAAAAGCAAAUAAAUACUGAGAGAAAGAAGCCUCUCUCCUCUCAGCACACAGGGCCUCCACGACUGAAAAAUGAAGGUGACUGUAAGAGCUCUGAUGAACCUCUUUGGACAACAGACAGCAAAAAUACCUGUCUCGGUGGAGGAGUUUAAGAGCCCUGCAGAGAUCCUCAGACAGUACAGAAUAUCUUGGCUCACACAGGCCACUCUCUUUAUCUCUAAACAAUACCAGCCAAGCUGCUCCGUACCUACAACUGAAGAGCUGCAGGAACAGGAGUACAGUAACUAAUACAGCUUUUAAAUUUGAAUCUCCUUGUCUUAUUUAAAAAAAAAAGAAAAAGGCACGAAUUCUAAGCAAGAUAUCUGCUACUUUACUUAUGGCCUUUCGAAACCAGCAGUUCCCGUGGAUCAGCGCUUAAAGCGGUGCCGGGGUCUCGCCGAGCCAUCGCCGACCCUCGGCAGCGAGGCCGUGCGGAGCAGGAGGGCUGCGGCCAGCCUCUUCCCGCGCCCCGGGGGAAAAUCCUCCGGCGGGGAGCACAGUGGAUGAUUGAUUGUACCCGCCAGCUGGCUAAUAUCAUAAUUAACAAAGUUGCUACCAUGUCUGAGAAGUUUAAUCGAAAAAAUUGCCGGCAGUGUGAUGCCAUUGUCACAGAGAUCACAAGCGCUGCAGUGUCGACUUUUGUACUGGUGGAGCCGCAGGACUAUGUAGAUGUGCUGGGAAGUCGGUCGCUGGGAUAACUAAAGUGAGAUGUGAUUGCAGACGGCGCGCGACCGGGCUCCGGUAGAACCGGCCAGCGGCAACCUGCCUUUGCUCUGCUCGUCACCGCCGGAGCAGCGGGCGCCUGCACCGAACCCCCGCGUGCAGGAACGCCGGCAGGAACGCGGGGAAGCGCGUCAGCGAGGUUUAGCUGGUGGAUCACAUUGUGAAAUCUGCAGCCAUGAAAGGCCCUCCAUUUACUGCACCCUUCAAAACGAAAUAUUAGCAUGGGAGGCUAAGCUGGGUAUUAUGGAGCAGUGAUUUCAAAUUCUGGGUCACAAGUAACUCCAGGACAGCACGAGGAGAGCUGUCGAUGAGAAAUGGAGGCUAAUAACGAAGGAGUCAGUGAAGGAGACCAAUGCCACGAGGGUUAUCUCGCAGCCCCAGAUGCUGGAUAAGUUGAAGGAGGCAGAAUCGCUUUUGGAUGACAUUCAGGAAGGCCUUGAAUGAUUAUUUGGCGAAGAAAAGACUAUUCUUUCCAAGGUUUUUUCUCUCGAUGCAGCAAUGAUCUCUCAGGAAUCCUUUCUGAGACAAAGGAUCCACUCCACGUCCAACCACACCUAAGGAAAUGCUUUGAAGGAAUUGCCAAGCUCACUUUUAAUCACGAGAAAGAAAUUACCCACAUGGAGUCAGCAGAAAAUGAAAAAGUAGAGCUCGUGCUGCGAAUAAUUCCAGCAAGUGCCAAGGGGCUAGUUGAGAAAUGGCUUCAUGAGGUGAAUAUCUUUAGCUCUUACUUAGGGUUUAGUUACUGUAUAAUCAUUUUCUCUUUUAGGAGCAAUGAAUAUCAUAAGCAUAUUUCCUAACUAAAUGGCUCUCUGAAUAUUUGUCAAGAUGUUGACAGAUUUCAGCCUUAUUGUUGUUAUUUAUUGCAACUAAUUUAGCAUCUGCAAACAUGCAGAAAUUAAUUCUAAUAAAAAGCUCUCAGAGUCA